GAGAGGAGAGGAGAGGAGAGGAGAGGAGAGGAGGAGAAAAUUACACAUUUAUUUGAUUAUGAUAACGGGUUUGCCAUAUGGAGCAUUUGAAUAGAUACUGACUGUCAUUUUGUGGAGGAAUUUAGAGCAAUGCAGGACGAGCAUGGCAUAGGUGAAGUGGAUUUAAACCUAACAGUGCAAAAUGGAGACAAGGAAUGAAAAGGGAAUCACUCAGAGUGUUUCCACAUGCCAUUUCCAAGGACUGGUAUUUCUAGGUCUCUUGGAAAGCAGUGACCCCCAGAAACACAUGUCCAUGGGUGAUUUCAGGCUGGAACAUGUGUUCAGUGUCCUCUAAAGUAAUGAGCUCAAGACAAAGAGAAGGGAGAGCAGGAAGAGUGAGGUGUAUUAACUACAAGCGUGUGUGCAUGUGCUGGUCUUCACAGUUCAAGAAAGCUCUCAGUAAAUGAAAGAUGCUUCAGAAAAAGAAGCUGCAGCAAUUGUUACAAGGACAAGAAAUGUUACCUGAGACUCAAAUGUCCAUCCAGGUACUUUACCAAGGACCAACUGAUGGACUGACUUGGCUGCAAUUAGGAAACUUUUACACAAGCAACAUUUGUGGCAAUGAGCUCAGCCUGGAAGACAGAAACAGGCAAGUACAAUAGCCUGAAAUAAGAACUAGACAAUGCAUUUUAGUGCAUUUAGCAUAAAGCAUCCUUGAACCAUUACUCCUUAUCUCACCCUUCUUUACUAAUACCUUUGUUGUUGUUUCAACCCUUGAGCAGUUUCAUUUGUUUUGACACUUUGGGCUUGUCCUGAGCCUGCUGAGUGGUGACAUUUCAAGGUUCGUUUCAAAGGUUCAUUUCAAGGUGACAUUUCAAAGUUGCUUUUCAAGGAGGUGGAGUGAGAGAGAAUGACAGCAAGGUAUGUUCUCGGAGCACCAUCCUCUGCUUGCAAGACUCCCAUGAGCAUUUUUAGGGUCAGACCACCUUCUGAGGAAGGAAGCUACCACCAGACCCCCACACUCUCCAUCUGUGUGGCCCGUACCUGUCUGCUGUUAACACACAGCCUGCAUGCAUUCGGACAGGGAACAGCUUGUAUUUGCAGGGACCUCCAAGAAGAACAGCCUGGAAAUGUCAGAUCUCCUUUCCUUUACAGACUCGCUCUUGGGAAGCGUGGAAAGAAGCUCAGUCCGGCCACAGACUGAGGUAAGGAGGGUGCUGUCAUGCAGAAAAUCUUGGCAGAAGCCUUCAACUGCUGAACCCUCUCCCAGCACCACACAACCAACCCAGCCAAGCGAGCGACAGCUUCUAACAGGCCAUCUCCCAGCCUGGCCCGGAUCCGACUCGCUGUCGGAGCCAACACUCACUAUCGCUCUAUUGCUUUACCUAGAUGGAGCCGGACAGGUGGCAUUGGCAAGAAACCAAGGAAAAGCAGUACAUUCCUGGGGAGUACUCUUCCAUCCGAGAUGGCACGUGAUAGGAGAUGUGGUGUGUAUUGGCAGCCAGAUCAGAUGUGCCUUAUAACAGUUUCUGAAGGUUUGGAACUAGCUCAGACUUGAAAUUCAGAGGAAUUUGGUUAACUUCUUCUGUUUUGUCUGAAUAGUACUUUUUUUUUUUUUUUUCCUUUGCAUGUGGCUUCUGCCUUCAGCUCCUGUUGGGAGUGCUGAAAUUCCAUCACAAAAACCGCAUCAUCACUUAGCUUUUUAUUAUAGUCUUUCAGCACUACAUGAUUGCUAGUGAAUCUCCAGCCAUGGUGGAAAUGGGAAAAAAACAACCAACAGCUCUCUAGAUCAUGCAAAAAGACCACGUCUUUCUGCCAGCAGACACCCCCCUUGCAUUUGCCCUCUCCUCCAGCGACUGAUGGUACCACAAGAUGGGAUUAACUGUAGGUCCCCUUUACCUCCAGAAAGAUUAUUUGCAGUGGGGUGUAUUUUUCAAAGUAAGUGAAAGCUCUGUAGUGGGAGGAAGCAAGUUCCCUUGGGGGUCUGUAAUACCUCUCCUUGCAUUUCCCAUUCCUUAGUAAUCUCUCCUCUGCAGGCCUGUCCUACCCAACCCUGCUUAGCUAGUAAUUGCUGAAGGAAUCAAAAUACGAGGCACAGCAGCUGCAGGCAUCCAGUGGAAAAAAAAUCCUUGCAUGCACAUGCACAAGUCUGAAAGAGAGAGAGAAGGAGAGAAAACACAUUAAAGGAAAGACAACAUUCACAGCAGGCUGGUGUGUCCUUGACCAAAGGAGACAUCAAAGACAGCUUCAGUGAUUUACUCUUUGACAGGCUGGCAUCUCUGUGACUCACGGAGCUAAUCAAUUAGGUGAUAUAUUCCCCCUCCUAACUACCCCUUUAUUUUUAACAGCUUCUUGCCGAGAGCAGAAGUGCUCCAAAACUGGGUACCAACACACAGACCAUGCUGCAAGAGCUGAAAAAUGCCAUCCCAGUGCAUCUGCAAGGGGAUCAGGACACCGGUAAAGAGCUUGAUGUUGCUGAUGGGAACCUCUCCACAGUCCAGACCUGAAGGACUGCCAGAUGUUGCACCAAGAAGAGGUUGUGAGAAGGAUUUCCUCUCCAAAAAUAUGGGGCUAUGCAAACUAAUGUCAAACCCAUCAGAAGCAUCUCUGCUAGAUGGUAAAUGGGAGUUGUUCUGCCAACAGCACUAAUCUCUGUGGUUACACUUUGGAUAAAAAUUGGUAUGUUGACAAUUAUUUUUUUUUCCCAUUUACCCUGUAUUUUCUUUUAACGGUCCCAGCUGCAGAUCCAAGCCACAAAUUUCAGCCAAUUUCCAAUUUUUGCUGUGCUUUGGAAGUGAUUGUUCAAGCAAGUACAUGUGCAAAGUAGGUAUCUGGCCAGCCAGUCCCCCAGCAUGGCUGCAACAAGCCCAGCACCCUCCAUCCCAGUCCAAGGAACACAGAGUUAUCCCAGUCCCCUCCAUGCCAGUGGGAGCUGGUCUACUGAUUCAAAAAAAAAAAAAAGCCCUAGGAGGAGCAAGAGGAGGCCUUAGGAAAUCCAGUGAGACUGAAAGUUGGACACCUGGUUGAAUUUUUUCACUUUCCCCUGACAGUUAAUGAGAUGAAAACCCAGGAGGAUUCUAUGGCAAUUACAGCAUAUGAUGGGAAUGCGGUUCCUGUGCAGCGAUGAACAAAGCUCAUACGAGCAGCCUCCUGCAGCGAGGAGGUAGCAAGUCUUUGUAUGAGUAAAUAUAUCCCCUGGCUGUGUGAGACACCAACGUGUCCCUGACACCAUCACUCCUUGCGGUUCUUCUGCUUUUUCUCUGUUCUGUCCAUUGACUGAAGAGGCCACAGGGAACAAAUUCUCCUUCAGCCCUAAAAAAUUGAUCCUUUCAAGUUUAGCUGUGGCAUCAAGAUAGAAAUAAAGAUCUUCAGUCUCCACAGUAAUUAAUACCCAUCCAUCAGCUUUAAAAUCACCUGUGUAUAAUAAAUGCAAGAAGCUAAACAUCUUGCUGCUGAGCUUCCGCUAGCUGUCACCCGGGCAAGACAAUUUAUGACACCUUUCCCGAGCAUCCUGUCGAGGGCUCAUUCAUGUAGUUCCUCUAAAGGCCAGAUGCAGCCCUGAGAGUAAGAGAAUUCAGAGAUUUGCCCUGCUGCCUUGUUACCCUGUGUGAUCAUUUCUAAUAAGUGUUCUUGUUUAAUCAUUUCCUUGCAUAAAACCCAGGCUUCUCUCAUGUUUGUCUGUGCUGUAUUAAUAAAGGUCCAUUUGGGAAGACGCUGGGGGUGGAAAUGAUUUGACCGAGGUUAAGUAACAAUUGUACAAAAUUGUUUUGACAUUAUGUUAAUGUCUAUUCAUGUAUUAUCCUCAAUUUAAAGUUAAUCACCAAAAUUACCGUUGCAGUUCCCAAAAUCUAAUGAAAUAAGAUUUGUUGAGGUGUGAAUAAUACAGAAAAUGAGAGGUGCGCAGUCACCAAAAAAAAAAAAAAGAAGAAGAAGAAACUGAAAUAAACUGCUGGCUUUAACUCUCUGAGCGCUCUUACACAGUGAGGUGAAUUCACAAGUUACAUCAGACCUUUAACACUCUGAAAUCAUUCUGGUGAUGGAGCGGGGUCUGGAGCAAAGUGUCCUGCUUGUGUACCUGCACAUGCACAGAGGGGUCCCGCUCCGUGUCCCAGCUGCCAGGGCACAGAUGGACUUUUCAAGCUAAUAAUUAUGAAUUGGUGCUUUAACAGUCAAUGGGGUUGAUCAUGACUUGGCUGUGCUAGGCUGAACAUAUCUGAUUUGAGAAGAUAAAGGCAGACCACCGCUAUCAUGAAAAAGUGCUUGGGAAAAAAGUGAUUACCAUAAAUUCAAAUCAAAGAGCUGUGGGUAAAUGCUAGCACAAGGAACCAAAAGAGACGGAGUCUCUUUGCCUCUUGUGUUACACCUGAAUGAACAUGUGGAAAAUGGAGGAGGAAGGAGGAAACAUCAGUGCUGCAUUCAACCCAAGGGCCCAGUCCACAGCUCACUGUCAGUCAAUUAAAAACAAAAAUAGAUAAUUUUUUUUUGUCAAAAAUCAGCUAAAUCCUUUUCCACACAGAAGCUUAGUACAGGAAGAAUUCAAAGUGAAGAAUAUCACAGUAUAAGGUAACUUGGAAGAGGAUUUUAACAGCUGUUUCUUUAGAAACUGGAAAAUAGGAGAUGAUGGUGGAUUUGAACCAGUGCUUCAACCACAGCAAGAAAACACAUAGUAGUUAGGUCUGGGAAAGGGCAUCCAAACAGCACAUCUAAAAGGCUUGUUGCACGUAGGUGUGUGAGUGGGGUAUAAUGGGAGAGCUGCUAGGCUGCAGGCUUGGCUGAGAAGGAAGAGUCAGCGAUACAGCUUUGGUCAGGGUUGGGUGGCUCAGGGUGGGUUUGCAGGGAGAGUGGUGGUCCCUGCUUCAUCUUCACCAUUCCAGGUCUGGGAAGCAGGCACAGAAAGUAGGAAACAAGCAACGUGUGCCUGUGGUAAUGGUGCACAAAGUAAAACACAUGGAUCCAGCUGCCUGACCCUCCACCCUCUCCCCCCCAAAAAAAAAAGAGAAGAAGAGAAAGAAGAAUGAAAAGGACUCAAGAAAAGGUGAAGGAGAAAUCAGACUCAGACAACUUCAGAGUUGCCCCAUGUGUAACUAAAAGUUUCCAUGACUUACAGAGCUAGUGACCUAUUCUUAUGUCCAGACUGAAGUACAAGAAAGACAAUAAAGACUCACUUAAGACGCUUAUACAAUCAAUACUAGAAGCAUCCAUAGAUGAUUCUUUUUUUGAUCCUCACAUCACACUCCAAACUGGCUGACUUACUGGGUGAGGCAGUAUAGAUCACAUUUUUUGAUAGAAAAUUCCAAUUUUCACGUGCAAAAUGAAACAGUCUGCAUUUGCAUCUGGUUUUCCCGAGGCUGGGUGUGCAGACAUACAGUCAGUCACAACCCAACCUGUUCUGCCACAGUAAUUGCAGCCAGUUUUGUGGAUAACAAGCGCAAUUUGAAGUGCGGAAACAAGCCUGAAAGCGGCUGAAGACCUGAUCCUCUGUAUGACUCAAAAAGCUACAGAAUAGCUGCAUUGUUGGCUUUAAUAAAUUCCCUGUGGAUAUUUCAUAUCGUCUCUAAACUGGUUUCCCAAAAUCUGGUUUUCAGCUUCUUCCGCUACCAAUGUCUGUAAAAUGACCCUUGUUUUUAUGACCACUUUGGUGCUGGGACUUUUGCUGUGACAUUCAAAGGAGGAUGUUUUGAUUCACAGAGGUGAAGAAUUAGAGAUACUUUUGUUUUGAAUGUUUUAAUUAUUUUUUAUAAUAAGAUGGAGACAAAUAUCUGUCAGGACAAAACUGAUACCAGCUCCCAGAAAUAAGAGAAAAUGGGCAAGGCAUAACCUACUUCAUGUGUGGACUGUAGCUGCAUUUCAAAAGGAAAACUAAUAGCCUUAAUUAUUCCGUAAGUAACUGAGGUUUUAAAUAAACCCAUUGCUUGCUACAAUGAUUAGGAAAGAUGUAAAUUUUAGAACUGCUGGUAAAAUAGGGAUCAUCUUUCUUGAAUUUUCAAGCUCAGGCUCAAAAACCUGUGACAUUUGUAGACUUUGUCUAAUCUCUCUUGCCUUACGAGUACCAUGAGGAAGUGGAGCUAAGGAGUAUGUCCUCUUCUGGGUAAAAUGGCAUUAAUGCCUAGCUGUGUGUGACAAUGUCACCCUCUUCUAGCUAGGACAAUAACUGUAAGUAUUGUAGUGGCACAGCCACCUAUGGUCACAUCAGACUGCCUGCUGUCAGUCCAGAUCUUGGAAGCCAAACAGAGCCAGGCUGGGCUAAUACUGGGAUGGGAGUGCAAGAGGGGAUUGCAGACUCCAGAGGCACAAGCUGAGAAGUUAUGGUCACAAAUGUAAAGCAAAUAUUAAACCACAGAACCACAAACCUACUAAAAAGCAAACAAACAAACCCUUUGCAUCCCAUUGUUGUUACUGCUCUGACAGUAGGCAGGGAUCAAAAGGCAAGAACCCCAUUAGUGCUUAGCAGAGAUUGCGUCUUAGCUAAGGGACUGGGUGUUUUGGAGGAAGCACCUUCAGCAAAACUGAAGUCAAAACUGUUCUGGUGACCUUAAUCCAAACAAAAGACCACAGACAGCAAGGGUAGUCUAGUAGGGAUAGUCUAGUAAAUUUAUUAUUUAAACUCACCUCAUUUUCAGUGUCACACAAAAACUGUCCCAAUGCAACUGUGUAUGUUUCAUGAGUUGAUACAUAAUUCCACUGGAGAAAAGCUAGGCUCUUCCAAACUGAACUAUAGUCUACUUAAGUCUUUCUAGUGCCUGAUCUCUUGGAAUAUCUUCAUUUUCUAACACGGUUUUCUUAAUGUAGACUUUUCCAAACUCAUCCAAAUCAAAACACUCACUGGUUCUUAACAAUUGCUAAUUAGACAAGAUUUAAUGCCUUGGGAACUCUGACAUAACCACUUUGCUUUUAAUUGGAGAAGGCUUUGUGAACAGACUGGUGCCUGCUCAGCCAUAAUUUUUUGUCCUUCUCUGAUUAAUAACCUCAGCACCAUCUGCAUUAACAAGGGUUCAGAGUUUGUUGGCACUUUAGUUCUCUUGCAGAGACGUCUGGGAGGUUACUAAGAACCUCAGCAUAUCUAUAAGGCUAUGUUAUGGUAAUAUCCAACAUACACAGGAUUAUUUAAUUCAUUAAAUGUCUUUAGUAUGCUUAUCUCUAAACUUAGAAGCUCCACCUUCUACCUACAGUUGAUUGCUUUUAAAGAUUGUCAACGUCCAGUUACAGCAUCUGUCUGAGCAAUCCCAAACUUCUCAUAACUUCAGGCACAGAGAGCCUGUUUCAGCUUUACCUUCACUUUGAGCAACCAGCCUUCAGGUUGUGUGGGUGAGUCUGGCUGGCCUCUUCCCGCAGAAAACAAAUCAUCUGCAAACUGGAACUCAGGCCAGCCUUGCUGAAUGGUUUGCAAAACAUUCACUUAGCCUGAAGCUGGGAUUUGUGCUGUCUGAGCCAAAUUUCAAGAAAGGCAGCAAGAGUUUCUAGUGUUGGGUGGAUGCCAGGCAGGUUACGAGCAAGUGUUGAGGUCUGUUUCAGACAUGGUUUUCAGGGAUGAAGGCUUAGCAAAGUGGAAGCCCUGAACUGAACUGAACUGAAAUUCUCAUGUAAGCCCUUAACAACUGAAGUUACAGCUCUCAGUGCCUUUUUCUCUGGGAUCUGGCUGUCAGCUGGGGCCCGUUUGCACAUAACCUCAGGUUUGCAGGUACCUCCUAGACUUCUGAGACAGAAGUAAUUUUUAGUUUGUGAUGAUGAUGCUUUAGAAACCACAAGGAGAAACUCCUGCUCGCAGGUCUCCUUAGCUUCUUACUUUCCAAGCUUUAUGGCUUCUCCAGGGAAUUCACAGGUUUGGCCCCUACAUAAUGACCCAGGGCUUUGUGGCAGAGACUGGCAAGUUGGAUGGAAAAGGCUUGGAAAUAUUAUUAGUCCUAAGAUGAGUCCUGCUUUGUGUCAUUGGCCUCAUAUUCUGCUCAGAGGAAUAAAUAGAUUGUUCCCAAUGUAAAUCUAGGAUCAACAGUAAAAGACUCUUCAUGUUGGAUUUAUUAAUCCAUUUUCCCUUGGUCGUCUUGCUCCAGGCUUUGUAAACAAGAGAGCUGUGUUGCUUGGCUGGCGAUGAGGGAAAGAGGUUAAUACUGAAGACUCCACAAGGUUCUACAAUUAGACAAUUUAUUUGUAGCAUAAUGUAGGCACCAAGAUGACCUCAGAGGCCUUUUUUACUUUUGCAGAAACAUAUUGGACAAGUUUUCUCAGCAGCUGUGCAUUAGUGUUCUAUAUUAAAUGGACUGAUUAUAAAUUAUAAGAACUACCCUAAGAUCUUCCCAUCACUUUGGAUUUCUUCACAGCAACUUUCUUUCUUUCUUCCUUUUCUCUUGCCUCCAAGAGUUGUUUUGCAAACAUGUGCCAUCUGGUGGGAAAGCAGAUGUGGGGAUAAUAAAAGUUAUGUUUUAUGGAUUCAUAUGAAGAUUGCUCUGUCCUUUUUCUCAAAAAAAAAAAAAAAAAAAAAAGACAUCUCAUAUUUCUUUUCAGGAAAAGAAGUUUCAGGCAAGCAGUGCAGGUCUAAUAGGAAUGGAGGAAUGGGAAAGCUGAAGAUGUACAUCACCACAGUAUGUGAAGGUAGAGAUGAGAGAGUCUUCUUUUUUUUCAGAGCUCGUGAUACAGGUGGAGUUUUAUUAUUAUUGUUUUGCUGCACCUUAGGCUUUUUAUUUAUAUUCUGGUUAAUCCAUCCCACCUCUACUAUCUUCCUCCAUGCAACAGCAAGUUCAAUAUAUGAUGAGUUUCUGCUCACUGGAGUGAAAAGCUCAUGGAGCAAAUUUGAGGAGAAUGGACUAAUUACAGUCUUCCAAGCUGCCUGGGAGAGGGCACACAGCUGCUGGGCUGAGGGCAGGGGCUUCGGUGGCCCAGCUGCUGGGCAUCAGCUCAUCACUUGCCCCAAUUUCAUCCUCACGCUGGAAAGACCCGUGUGGGAUGGCCUGUGUUUUAGGGCUGCUGGGUUUCAGGGAAGAGGGCUUUUUUUGAUUCAGGCUGUUUUGGUAGAUUUGUUUUUCCCCCAAACUCUAGCUGACUUUAGCAAUAAGAUGUGUAGCUGGCUUUGAUCCCCUUUAAAUAACUGUUUCUUCUCUGUUGCCUGUGAUGUUUUUCUUUUGCUUUAGUGUUAUUUCUGGGGGAAAUUAUGUGUGAGGGCUGUUAGUCUGGUGUGAGAAACUAGCAAAAGCUACAUUCUGAUUAGAUAGAUUUCUUUUUCCAAUUGCUUUCUGGGAUAGCUGGAGUGUCCCUGCUUUCUUAACUGAGGUGUCAUUUUUCAUGGAGAAGCAGAUGCUCUUUGUCAUGGAUGAAAAGGAGCACAAGCUCCUUUUUAACUGUGUUUUUGUAGUUAUGUUCUAUAAUCAAUGGAUUCUCACCCCAUUUGCAAUGUGGGUCCCCAAAAUUUUUGAGUGACAUGAUGGAUUUGCUUGCAAGAAUUCAUGGCUCAAUUUGUUCUCUUGACUACCUGUUAUGAACUAUUGGAAGUGGUCUGUGGAUCCCAGGAGUUUUUAAGCAGCAGACUGCAAACAUGGUUUGCAGUUGUUUGUGAGCUAAACUUUGAGCCUAAACAUUUUGGCUGACUUCUGAGCUUUGUCUUUUUCUCUUUUCUUCCCUUCUCUCCAGUGCAUGCAUCCAUUUCAAGGGAUCUGGAUCCUCUCAGCCUAAUUUUAAGCAGCUAAACCAAACUGGAUGUUUUUACAAUGGUGUUGCAGGCUUUUUGGAGCCUGAAACACAGUGGGAUUUUUAGGCUCAUAGAAACCAAAAGGACGUUUGCUAACCUGGCCUUUACUCCUAAUGUGAGUAAAAGAGCUGUUAGGAUGAAGUCAGUGGCACAUAACACCUCUGAGAUGCAAGGGCAUGAAAAUGGCUGUCUCAUCUUAGGGACAGCUGUGGGAAUGGGCCUUUCCAAGCAGAAAAACAUGGAAAAGCCAAACUGCUUGGGGUUAGACUGCUGAUGAAGCAGUAUAUAUUAGAGCUGCUGUAUAUCUGUUCUGUGUAUCCUGCUCUAAAGGUGGCAUUGCGCAUAGAUGGUAGGAGUAGCUUGUUCACAGUUCAGGGGAAAAUACACAAUAACGUUUAAUGUUAAGAGUUUUUUUUAGAAUAGUGGAGAAGGGGAUGUAAUAAGAUCCAAUGUCUGUGUUUGUCUAACAUUGAUUUCCAAUUUGGAAAUGAGGUGGAUGUCUUUAACAAUGGGAUGAUGAACCCCUGGAGUGGUUGCCUAAGGGAUGCAGCAAGCUCUCUGUUACUUAAAUCCAAUAUAUCAAGUUCAGAUCACUUUUCUGAAGGAGGCAUUCCAACUCAACUAGAAGUUCCUGAGCUCGGUAAAGGACCGCCGGGUGAAUUUUUUACAUCCACAGGUAAGUGGGAGGUCAGAUUAGAUGAUCAUAAUAGUCUUUUUUACCUUUAGAGUUGAAAUCCUUGAGCAUCUACUUUAUAAAAGUGAAAUCAAAAAGAUGAGGAAGGUCUUAAAAGUCAGAUAUUGCCUGCCAAACCCAAUUAUCAGGGCUGCAGUUCAAAGUGAUCUGUGCCCUUGCUGGGCCAGAAGCAUUUGACCAUUGAUCAUGGCAAAGGAUAUGAGUGCUAGGAGAAGUGAGAGGGCUGCAAGAAAAGUGUUUCCAAGUUCAAGAAACCUGCACUUUCCCAAUGUAGAGAAAAGACUGGAGAGAAAGGUGAAUUGCCUUAGGUUAAGAUAAUGUCUGCAUUUCAGAAGUGGACCUCCCAAAAGGAUGCAGGACUUGCUGUGUUCACAGUGUGGCUGCAGGGAACAGAAGAAUCAGGAACUCCAAGAAAGCCAUAAGAAUGAGGAUAAAAUGAGAGAUGUGCAGCUAGUGCCAAAAUUACUGUGUGUCUCAAAGCCUCUGCUUCCUCUCCUACCACGGCAGCCACCAUGCAGGUGGCAUGAGACUGUUAAUCUCACACCUUUAGCGUUUCCCUACAACCCCUUGUAACACAGUGAGAAGAGUCUUUUUCUUCCCAGCACAGAAAGAGGGGAGCUGGCAGCUCCAUUAAUGAGCAUUUGCAGGCAAGCCCAUCUUGUAUUCCAUGCACUUACAUGCAUACAGGUUGUGAAUAAUUUCUUGUUUAAGAAAUGAGCCCAGGUUAAAAAUAGCCCCUGCAUUUAGCUGCUUGCUGCCUCCUUCCUGCUUGCUGGGGCCAGAGCUCUGUUGAAGUGCUGGCAGUCAUUUUUUAUGUGGAAAUGGUUAGAAGUCAAAAUUGUCUGGCAUCUCUUGCCAGUAUGGGGAGCUCUGGGGAUGGCUGUAGGACAGACAGUGGAGUCUGGUUUUUCUCUUUACCAUGGCCUGGAAGGGAAGGGUUAGAAGUUCACUCUGGAGGCACCUUUUCCAUUGCUCAUUCCUGCCUGGACCCUCUGCUGAGGUGGUUAAUGAAGGGCUAAUAAAUACUAGGUAGUUUUGUAAUGUGGUACCUGGGGUUGGAUUAAGAUAUUUUAAAGUGUCAUGAACACAGGCAAACUGAGCUCGAUACUCUGCCUGAUAUAUGGAACAACCUCCCCGGUGUAACAACAGCUCCCUGCUGCUGUCUGUCGUGAACUUGUAAAACGAGGAAUGUGUUUGGAGAGUAUAGAGUCACACUUUCAUUUGUCUCUCCCUGCUCCUUUUAUGUAGAGCUAUAUCUCUAAAGAGUGUACAAAGUUGAAAAUUUUGCAGGUUUAGGACCUAAAUUAUGCUGCUGCUUUCUCAUUAAUUCUCAGCUCAGGGCGUGCAGGAGUUUGUCACCAUAUGAGAAACAGGGGAACAGAAAGCUGGUAACACAUGAGGAUCUCCUUAUCACCUGCUGACCUGAAGGAGUAAUAGUGUAGAAUGGCACUGUAAGAAAUGAUAUGUUCUUGCAGUUUGCAAUGAAAUAAUCUGGAUUAAACCCAAAGGCAUGAUUAAAAUUAUGCAGCUCACACUGUGGAGAAGAGGAUGAAAACAAUCAGGUAUUUACUUACUGAACUGUUAAUGCAGGGGUUUUUACUCUGACUAAUCAAAGCUCUUGGGGUGGGCAGCAUUUGGCAGGUCAUGCAUGAAGAAGAGAUGGAGACUUCUGGUCUCUGUGCUUGGAAGAGGAGAAGAAAGGACGAAUGCCUGCAUUCAAAACAUCUCCUGGCACCUCAAAUAUCAAAAACGUGUUUAGGGAUGUUCUGUUUAUCAGUUUCUAGCAUGCAGAUCCCCACAGAGACGAGGUCAAUCAUUGAUGGAUGGUGCUAGGAGGAUGAGAAAUUUGAUUUACAGUGGCCCCAGAAGGGCCAGAGCUAAGUGCCACUUACUGAGACAGUUUAACUGGAGCCUGAAGGGAACAGAGAAGCUAUGACACUCCAUUGAUAUUAUCAAGUCCAGGACCACAGGAUAAGGCAGGACUUGUGUUACCAAGUAAACCCCUUUCUCUUCCCCCAGCACUUUGAAAAGAUGCUGUGGUUGUCUUGGUUUUGGACCUUUUGAGCCUGAAGUUUGUCCCCUCCUGUGCAAACCUGAAUGGUUUCCUGCUCAUCAAAUGAAUCUAUGACUUUUCUCUGGUGGCAUCCAAAAGCAUCCUUUCUGUGGGUGCUCUCAAGUCCUGUUGCUUGUUCCCUUCCUCAGCUGCCAGAGCAGUGUGUACUCAGGUGUCCCUCUGCCAUUUUCUCUUGUUUUGUGGCUAUACCUUGUCUGCUCCUAGCCUCAGAGAUAGAUUCAUUAUGAAAAAUGAUCCAGUUUUCAGAAAUCACAAGGUUCUGUGUCUUCCACUUAAUUAUUGUUUUAUUUUAAUAAGCAAUUAUGUUUUGAAGACACCUCAGGGCUCCAGGCGUUAACCACUUAUCACCUGCUGAGUGAUUUAAAAUUAGUGAAGCACAUCCCAUUUGCAGGUUGGAAUGAGGCCUGAAUCCUAUCAGCAGACAAAUGAGUUCAGAAAUUCUCCAUGUUUGUAACUCACUGCUUAUGGUUUCAUCUCCUGGUCCUCUGAGAGAGGCCAGUUAUGUGCUGGAGGGAUGUCUGUUCCCUUGCUGUUCUGAUAAGAAGCAAAGGGCUCAUUAGGGGCUGUGAAAGGGAGAAGACUGUCUGUUGGCUGUUCUCUACGGUUUACUUUGCCAAGUAUCUUCCACAAGUCUUUCUCCACUACAGACUGCAAAACCCUGGCUGUUAAAUCAACCUGCAGCUCAGGUAUCCCUCAUGUGAGAGAUGCAAAUCUCCUCUGGGGUGAGGAUAUUGUAGGGGCAGGAAGCCAGGGAGUCUCAGCUCUAAAACUGAUAUGGAAAACAUACAUGGUCCCACAGGGGUGAAAUAUUAAGUAGUUAUUGGUUUAUCGUCAGGACUUGUUAUUCUCUACCAAGAGGCAAUUUGUUGAGCCUACUCUAAGAGCAUAUAAAUUAACUUGCUGUAGCAACUUGCAGGAAUAAACCCUGAGUAUUCCCAUAGAUUGCAAGGUGCUCUGAUUGCCAGCAACUUGGAGAACAGAUACCUGUGUUAUCAAAUGCUGGCUGGCUUUCUCCUGGAGCUUUUAUGACCUAAUGGUUUGGGGUUUUUUGUCCUCCCACAUCUCCUUGACUUCCAGGUGGCACAGUUGGAAACCCAUUUGAAAACAUAAACCCAUUACAUUUUCUCUAUUUUAAUGUCACACAUUAAAAAUACGACACAGCAGCCAGGACUGCAUUGAAGUUCUCAGUUGGAAGGCUGAGCAGCCCGGCUCGUGUGUGCCGUAGAGCAUUAUUAUUGGCAUUAGCUACAGUGUUAGUCAGCACAUGUGCCAUAUGCUCCAAGGUGUAUGCCCUCCACGUAUUGACUGAAUCAUUUUAUGUUUUCCAUAUGGAGUAUGUCCUCCAGGUUCCACACAGACUCUGAGGCAUUGGGAUAAUAAUGAGAAAGAUAAUAAGUCUGACAAGGGAACAAGAGGGCUAAACCUUGCAGGGAGCCCCUGAACAGCAGGAAUGGGAAGCUUCUUAGCUCAUUUCUUCCUCUUGAGUUUGGAGACAGGGAGGGAAGGAGAGGUGGGAAUGAGGUGAGGUGAAAGGGAAGGUGGUGGUGUCUUUACUGCAGGGAACUGUUUCUUUCCCACUUGCUGCCCGAUGUGUCCUUUGGGGGCAGUAAACUUUAAAGAGUCUUUUUCCAUGCUGAAUAUGCUUAUUUAAAACUAUAGCUGCUCUGAAUUAAGUAGGGGGUAGAAGUCCCUGCUGAAAGGUGCCCUUGCCCAAAAACAUGCCCCUCAAUGCCCCCGACUGCUUUCUUCUCCACAGUGCCCAUUUCUUCCAAACAAACAGAAAUGAGGACAGCAGCUUUUUUUUUUUUUUUUUGAGAAACACAGCCAUUUCUAAGCAACAGUCAGCCUGAAUUACAUGUCAGAGCAGCAUUUGCCAUGUUCCCACCUGUGCAUCAUCAAAAUGGGCCCAAUAAAAAGCCCCAUUUCUCCUUAUUUCCUUGUGAUUUUUACAUCCCCUGUCCAUUUAACCUUCCAUUGUCAUUCUCUAUUUCUUUCUGGCCCUAACUCUGCUGUGAUUUAAGGACCAAUGAUUCCAGCCUAUCUCUUGACAUAGAGAGCAGGACACACAAAAGAGUUUGUGCGUCAGCACCCGGAAAUGUGGGGUUUGCAGGGGUUGUUCCAGCCCUUCUUUCCCAUGCAAGGCCUGGGCAGUGCUUGCUCUGUGUCUGUCUCAUUCCCUUCCAGCCUCAAGCUCCAUGGAGCCAGCUGGGCUAUGAUGUCUCAGCACUUUUCCAACAGCCCUUUUGAUGUUCUCAGCUUGGAUUUGGGGCACAGCUCAGCAAUGUUUACUUGUCACAUCCCCACCAGGCUGGGGACAGCAAUGCUAAUAUUGCAAGAAAUUUAGCAGAGCUCAGUAAUAGGAUUUGACCCAAAUUGCAGAGGGGAAAAUGAAGCAGCUCUGUAAAAACUGAAAUCUCUCUACAUAAUAAAUUCUAUUAGAAGCAAAUAAAUAAAAAAGCCAGGUAUGAAAGGGGAACAUUCUGAUUUUUCUCUUGUCUUAAUGUGAUUUGAACAUAAUUUGAUGGGGCUCAGCUAAGCAAACAAAGCAGACACCCUGAGGAAUGGAGCUAUGUUUGCUGAGAAGUCAGCAUCCUACUUCCACAGUGGUAGGAGAAAAGGUGUGAAUGAGAUUGCAUAGAAUCAGAUCUGUUUCUCCCUGUUGGAAGCUUAAAGAGAUUGGAAAUGCACUUGAAACCAAAUAGACAUAGCUGGACUUGUAGGCUGUGUGGGCAUCUUGAUUUUUCUUGCCCUUCCCAAGGGCAGAGCUCAGUGAAGAUACUCUGGGACUGGCUCGUGAAGGUUGGACUGGGCUCUAAACCAGUGUGCAGACCUGCCAAGGGAGGUGCGUGGAGUAAAAUGAAGGUAAGAAAAUAGUAGACAAACUCAGUUAAAGUUGAUAAGUAUCAAGAGUUCCUUGGGUGAAGAUAUCUACUUUCUCAUUGCCAAUAGUUAACAUAUAUCAAUAUUUAUGGACACAUCCCUGUUUGAAGUUGGGUCUAUACAUUCCUUUCAGUCUAGUUAUUUUAUUUCCCUGCAACUAGAAAGCAAGGUUUCUUUGAAACAAGACAUUUUGCAAUCAGUUGAAGGGAUUCCCUUGCUGCCCAGCACUCAGGGUGAGAAUGAAGUAUUUGCAAUUCAAUUGGACAUGCUUUUAGGGCUGCAUUAAGGAGCAAUAAGCACUAUGUAAGUGUGGAGCAAUUCUAUAGAUGUCAGUUUAUGCUUGAAGAGCCUGAACUUGCAUGUGUAAGCUAGACAGAGAUACAGAGCUUGGCCUGACUAGCCAUGGCAAAAAGGUGCAUGUCUGAGUUGCACCACAGCACAGUCCGAAGUCUGUUGAAGUAUGUGACCCUUUAGAGUUGUAAAAUGCAUAUAUUGGAUCUGGAGGUGGAUAUUCUUGAGUUUUCAUGGAGGUGAAUCCUUCCUCCUUGUACUUGUCCUGAGGAGGCAACAUAAAUAUAUUUCCUAGAACAUUUCCUCAAGUGUGGGGUUUGUUUGUUUGUUGUUUGUGGAUUUGCUUUUGUGUUUGUUUGGGGUGGGGGGGUGUGUGUGUGUGUUUGGUUUGUUUUCUAUUGCUGUUGAUGUGACAAGAUGUUUUUCAUACACAGUCUUGGUGGAUGUGCCUGAGGCAAUGCUGAAACAUAAGUUCUCCAGCUUGUCUGUCCCUGUUGUUUCUCUACAAGGCUUGGGCUAGGAAAUGAGCAACUACUCAGUAGUGUAUCCAAGCCACAGGGGAAUGGCUGCUGAAACAAGAGGGACACCUUGGCAGAAGAGCCAUUUGAAGGAAUAUUAAUUACCAGGCAGCCAGUUCUGGACAAUUGAAUCUCAACUCCAUAUGUUCCCAUUCAAAGUGCUCCAGCAAAAUGCUUAACUGAUUACUAUCUUGUGAGCUCUGUGUGUGUGUGAUAAAACCUAAGACUGCUGAGCUAGAGGGAUUGUCUGUUGAUAGCAAUAUAGUGUAGUGAGUGUUUUUUCACCUUUUUAAACUUAAACUUUUUUAUAUCAUAACAAAACCAGACCAGGUUUCAGAAAUGCUUUUUAAUUUAUAAUCUUUAUUGUAGUGUCAUCGUGCUGAUUAAAGUCACUGAAGGGUCAACUGCACAUGGAUGAAAUGAAAUAAAGACAUAUCUGUGUUUGGCAUGAAAGGCCUCUGAGCCUUGUUUAAUGAGGGACUGCAGAUUUAAGGCCUUCUUGAUUUCUAUAUGUCUAUAUAACAGGUGCAAGGACAUAGGGUCAGAACAAAGAAGAAAUAGGCCAUUGGGAUAAAAUGAAAUCAACCUGAGUUUUUGCCCCAGGCUGUAAUUGAACCAGAACUGAAGUUCAAAUGAUAAAUUUUUUUCUUUUAUUUUUUUUUUUUUUUCCCAGAUCUUUUUGCUCUAACCAACCUCAGAAAUGUCAAACAAGCAUAAGGCUGUUCUAGCUGACACCUUUGCAGGAGGUGUUCCAGGGCAUGAAAUUCUGCUGUGUUAAAAGCUGCUAUGAAGACCUCAGUGCUGCCCAUGACCAAUGGAAAAGGACAGAUUUAACAAGGGAAAGAGAUCGAAAUUUGAUUUGCUGAAAUACCCAAGUAUUUGUUCCUUGGUGUUUGGUUAUGCUUAAUGCUUUUGUUCCAGCCGGGGCUGCUCAUCUGUGAGCAACAAACUGAUGGCACAAGUCUCUGCACAGAACCUUCAUGCUUCCCACUCUGUGGCUUAAGAAGGUUCACAGCCCAUUUAAUUUGCAGGCGCUGUCUGGAUAUGCCAAUCUCUGCCAUCAUUGAUGUGUGUGCAAACAGGCGAACAAAGGUGAAAAGCCAAUUUGAGGACAGCUUUAAAUUAGAGACUUAGUAGUUCUAAUAUGCAGAAAUUUAGGAGUAAUUAAUUGGUUCUUUUAAAAAAUAGCAUCUAUUUUUAGCUCUCAAAGGAGGUUGUUUUCUAGGGAUGACAGGUUGUGCUGCCAAGGUGUGUAAGCUGAUUUUGGAGCAGCAUCCAGCCAGCUUGUAUGGACAGUGAUGUCUUGCAGACCCCUGAGAAAAGCACACUGGCAAUGCAAGAUUUCCCAUUAGACUUGGGCUGUAAAAACUGUAGCUGAACUUUUUUCUCUUUUACAGACAGUCCUAAUCCAGCCAGCUUGAAGGGAGCAGCAGCUCCGGAGGAAUCCAGGAUAUCUUGGCUUCCCUUUGCAAUGAUAAAGUUUCCAUGCUCUGAGGAGGGCCAUUCCUCCUACAGAAGAGGAGGUGCUGAGGUGACCAGGGAUGACUGAAGAAGCAGGGAAAGAAGAAAUGGUCACAAGAAGUGGAUCUGCUGCCCUGAAAGAUUGCAGCAUGCUGAAGUUAUGCUUUCUCCAGGCACCCAUGUCAUUCAGGGACACCACGGCAAGCAACCCCCAGCUGGUCGUAUCUGGCAUCUGCAGGCCAGUAACAGCCAGGGAAAUUUCCCCUGCUUGUGAUCUUCAGCUGUUCAGGACUGAAUCAAGCAUUUAUGUUCAAGAGGAUGAAAAGGAGGACUUGCUGACAUCUUGCUGUCUUUCCAGGAUCUAAGGAAUAAAAUUGCACCUUACUUCUAAGACAAGUGUAA